rnacentral:rRNA from 1 species
GAUGAACGCUGGCGGCGUGCUUAACACAUGCAAGUCGAACGGAAAGGCCCAAGCUUGCUUGGGUGCUCGAGUGGCGAACGGGUGAGUAACACGUGGGUGAUCUGCCCUGCACUUUGGGAUAAGCCUGGGAAACUGGGGCUAAUACCGGAUAGGAGCAUCGGUUACUGUGGGGGGUGGAGAGUUUUUCGGUGUGGGAUGAGCUCGCGGCCUAUCAGCUUGUUGGUGGGGUAAUGGCCUACCAAGGCGUCGACGGGUAGCCGGCCUGAGAGGGUGUACGGCCACAUUGGGGCUGAGAUACGGCCCAGACUCCUACGGGAGGCAGCAGUGGGGAAUAUUGCACAAUGGGCGCAAGGCUGAUGCAGCGACGCCGCGUGGGGGAUGACGGCCUUCGGGUUGUAAACUCCUUUCGCCAAGGACGAAGCGUUUUGUGACGGUACUUGGAGAAGAAGCACCGGCUAACUACGUG